rnacentral:rRNA from 1 species
AAGACAUGCGUGGUAGCGGAGCGUUCUGUAAGCCUGCGAAGGGCGACCCGUGAGGGCGCCUGGAGGUAUCAGAAGUGCGAAUGCUGGCAUGAGUAACGACAAACACUGUGAAAGACAGUGUCGCCGAAAGUCCAAGGGUUCCUGCGUAAAGUUAAUCUUCGCAGGGUUAGCCGACCCCUAAGGCGAGGCCGAAAGGCGUAG